ensembl:snRNA U6 U6 spliceosomal RNA
GUGUUCAUUUUGGCAGCACAUCUACUAACAUUGGAACUUCACAGGGAAGAUUAGCAUGGUCCCUGUGCAAGAAUGACAUAGAAAUUUUCGAAGCCUUCUCUGCCUUU